rnacentral:lncRNA from 1 species
UGCCUCCGACCUUGGCCCGCGGCCGCCGGUGAGCCUAGACCCGCGCGUCUCCAUCUACAGCACGCGCCGCCCGGUGUUGGCGCGCACCCACGUCCAGGGCCGCGUCUACAACUUCCUCGAGCGUCCCACCGGCUGGAAAUGCUUCGUUUACCACUUCGCCGUUUCAAGAAAUUAAGCAUACGGUCACGAGAGUGCAAAGUUCUGUGAAACGCUCCAGUGGUUACACGCCCCGGGGUUUCAGCUUCGACCCUGGUUCCUCAUCGUCCUGGUCUGCCUCAUCUUCAGCGUGCUGUCCACCAUC